GAGGCCAUGUGAUGCUGGGCGCCAGCGAGCCGCCGCCGCCGAGCUGCCUCCUUCCUCCUCGGAUCUUGGGCUGUCAUGGCGACCCCCAACAACCUGACCCCCACCAACUGCAGCUGGUGGCCCAUCUCGGCGCUGGAGAGCGAUGCAGCCAAGCCGGUGGAGGCCCCCGACGCGCCCGAGGCAUCCAUCCCCGCCCAUUGGCCCAAGGAGAGCCUGGUUCUGUACCACUGGACCCAGUCCUUCAGCUCGCAGAAGAGUGUCCCCUGUGUCCACCCGCCUUCCCCCCCGCUCUGACCCUGGCACCUGCAGGUGCGGCUGGUGAUCGCUGAGAAGGGCCUGGCCUGUGAAGAGAGAGAUGUGAGCCUGCCUCAGAGUGAGCAUAAGGAACCGUGGUUCAUGCGGCUCAACCUGGGUGAGGAGGUGCCAGUCAUUAUCCACAGAGAUAACAUCAUCAGUGACUAUGACCAGAUCAUCGACUACGUGGAACGCACCUUCACAGGAGAGCAUGUGGUGGCCUUGAUGCCAGAGGCGGGCAGCCCACAACACGCCCGAGUGCUGCAGUACCGGGAGCUGCUGGAUGCGCUGCCCAUGGACGCCUACACACACGGAUGCAUCCUGCACCCUGAGCUCACCACAGAUUCCAUGAUCCCCAAGUAUGCCACGGCUGAGAUCCGCAGACACUUAGCCAACGCCACCACAGACCUCAUGAAACUGGACCACGAAGAGGAACCACAGCUCUCUGAACCCUACCUUUCUAAACAGAAGAAACUUAUGGCCAAGAUCUUGGAGCACGAUGACGUGAGCUACCUGAAGAAGAUCCUCGGGGAGCUGGCUAUGGUGCUGGACCAGAUUGAAGCGGAGCUGGAGAAGAGGAAACUGGAGAAUGAGGGGCAGACGUGUGAGCUGUGGCUCUGUGGCUGUGCCUUCACCCUGGCCGAUGUCCUCCUGGGAGCCACCCUGCACCGCCUCAAGUUCCUGGGACUGUCCAAGAAAUACUGGGAAGACGGCAGCCGGCCCAACCUGCAGUCCUUCUUUGAGAGGGUCCAGAGACGCUUUGCCUUCCGGAAAGUCCUGGGCGACAUCCACACAACUCUGCUGUCAGCCGUUAUCCCCAACGCGUUCCGACUGGUCAAGCGGAAACCGCCAUCAUUCUUUGGGGCAUCCUUCCUUAUGGGCUCCUUGGGGGGGAUGGGCUACUUUGCCUACUGGUACCUCAAGAAAAAAUACAUCUAGAGCCAGGCUGGGGCCUGGUGUGUGACUGGCAGUGUCUCUGUGCUGUGUGCUUCCCAAAUCCCUCUCAGUUACUCACUGUCCCAUGAGCACUGGACAGACCUUCCUGCCCCUUCUUCCUAGUAAUUCUAUUGUCAGUGUGACAACAUUCCAUAGUUUAGAAGUAGACAUUGUCAACACCAUGAUUUGAGGCCACGGCUCUACCAGAGGACAGAGAGAGAAAGCAAGAGAAAGGAAACCCAAAUAUCUUUUCUUCUGAUUCAAGGAUGCAAGGCGUUACUGUGGGGACUGGUUAGGACCUGAGGGACCUCUUCUAUAGGACAUAGCCAACAUGGAGACUCAACUCAUCUAACCAGUACCUCUGUUCGGAAC